rnacentral:rRNA from 1 species
UACGGAGGGUGCAAGCGUUAUCCGGAUUCACUGGGUUUAAAGGGUGCGUAGGUGGGUCUGUAAGUCCGUGGUGAAAUCUCCAAGCUUAACUUGGAAACUGCCGUGGAUACUAUCUGUCUUGAAUAUUGUGGAGGUGAGCGGAAUAUGUCAUGUAGCGGUGAAAUGCUUAGAUAUGACAUAGAACACCAAUUGCGAAGGCAGCUCACUACACAAUCAUUGACUCUGAGGCACGAAAGCGUGGGGAUCAAACAGG